AACGAACGCUGGCGGCAUGCCUAACACAUGCAAGUCGAACGAGAUCUUCGGGUCUAGUGGCGCACGGGUGCGUAACGCGUGGGAAUCUGCCCUUUGGUUCGGAAUAACAGUUGGAAACGACUGCUAAUACCGGAUGAUGACGAAAGUCCAAAGAUUUAUCGCCAGAGGAUGAGCCCGCGUAGGAUUAGCUAGUUGGUGUGGUAAAGGCGCACCAAGGCGACGAUCCUUAGCUGGUCUGAGAGGAUGAUCAGCCACACUGGGACUGAGACACGGCCCAGACUCCUACGGGAGGCAGCAGUGGGGAAUAUUGGACAAUGGGCGAAAGCCUGAUCCAGCAAUGCCGCGUGAGUGAUGAAGGCCUUAGGGUUGUAAAGCUCUUUUACCCGGGAUGAUAAUGACAGUACCGGGAGAAUAAGCUCCGGCUAACUCCGUGCCAGCCGCAGUAAGAC
rnacentral:rRNA from 1 species